GAGGGAACGGCUCAAGUGGCAGAGCACAUGCUUAGCAAGCAUGAGGUCCUGGGUUCAGUCCCCAGUACCUCCU
rnacentral:tRNA from 1 species